AACUACACUAUCGAUUUAUAGAUUCACUCGCGAGAUGAUAUGGCUGUUUCACCUAGGACGAGGACAUGACAUCCUAUUAUAGCCAUCGCACGAAAUUAAUAAUGAUGACACGUCCUCAUCCUAGAUAAACAACCACGUCAUCUCACGGGUGAAUCCAUUCAUCGAUAGUGUGGUU
rnacentral:pre_miRNA from 10 species